rnacentral:rRNA from 1 species
AGAGUUUGAUCCUGGCUCAAGAUGAACGCUGGCGGCGUGCCUAACACAUGCAAGUCAAGCGAAGCGCUUAAGUCUUAAUCUUCGGAGGAAGGCUUUUGUGACUGAGCGGGGGACGGGUGAGUAACGAGUGGGUAACCUGCCUUAGACCGGGGGAUAACAGUUACAAAUGACUGCUAAUACCGCAUAAGAUCACAGUACUGCAUGGUACAGUGGUAAAAACUGACGUGGUUGUAAGAUGGACCCGCGUCUGAUUACGUAGUUGGUGGGGUAACGGCCCACCAAGCCGACGAUCAUUAGGCCGGCCUGAGAGGGUGGACGCCCCCAUUGGGACUGAGACACGGCCCAGACUCCUACGGGAGGCACCAGUGGGGAAUAUUGCCCAAUGGGGGAAACCCUGAUGCAGCGACGCCGCGUGAGCGAUGAAGUAUUUCGGUAUGUAAAGCUCUUUCACCAGGGAAGACAAUGACGGUACCUGACUAAGAAGCCCCGGCUAAAUACGUGCCAGCAGCCGCGGUAAUACGUAGGGGGCGAGCGUUAUCCGGAUUUACUGGGUGUAAAGGGAGCGUAGACGGCCAUGCAAGCUCGGUGUGAAAGGUGCGGGCCCAACUCGCAGACUGCAUUGAGAACUGUAUGGCUGGAGUGCCGGAGGGGCAGGCGGAAUUCCUGGUGUAGCGGUGAAAUGCGUAGAUAUCAGGAGGAACACCGGUGGCGAAGGCGGCCUGCUGGACGGCGACUGACGUUGAGGCUCGAAAGCGUGGGGAGCGAACAGGAUUAGAUACCCUGGUAGUCCACGCCGUAAACGAUGUAUAGCAGGUGUGGGGCAUCAAGGAUGCCCGGUCCCGCAGCAAAUCGCAUUAAGUAUACCACCUGGGGAGUACGUUGGCAAGAAUGAAACUCAAAGGAAUUGACGGGGACCCGCACAAGCGGUGGAGCAUGUGGUUUAAUCAGAAGCAACGCGAAGAACCUUACCAAGCUCUUGACAUCCCGCGGACAGGGGUGUAACGUGCCCCCUCCCUUCGGGGCAUCCGGUGACAGGUGGUGCAUGGUGGUCGUCAGCUCGUGUCGUGUAGACGAUGGGUCAAGUCCCCCAACGAGCGCAACCCCUGCUUCUCAGUAGCCAGCACGGAGAGGUGGGCACUCUGGAGGGACUGCCGGGGAUGACCCGGAGGAAGGCGGGGAUGACGUCAAAUCAUCAUGCCCCCUAUGGCUUGGGCUACACACGUCAUCCAAUGGCGCACACAAAGGGAGGGGAAGGGGCGACCCGGAGCAAACCCCAGAAAAGGCGCCCCAGUUAGGAUCGCAGCCUGCAACCCGGGUGCGUGAAGCUGGAAUCGCUAGUAAUCGCGGAUCAGAAUGCCGCGGUGAAUACGUUCCCGGCUCUUGUAAUCACCGCCCGUCA